rnacentral:rRNA from 1 species
AGAGUUUGAUCCUGGCUCAGGACGAACGCUGGCGGCGUGCCUAACACAUGCAAGUCGAACGGAGAAUUUCAAGAAGUUUACUUUGAGAAAUUUUUAGUGGCGGACGGGUGAGUAACGCGUGGGUAACCUACCCAUAAACCCGGGACAACCCUUGGAAACGAGGGCUAAUACCGGAUAAUCUUUGGUCUUGGCAUCAAGACUAAAGGAAAGGUGGCCUCUGAAAAUGCUACCGAUUAUGGAUGGACCCGCGUCUGAUUAGCUAGUUGGUGGGGUAAAGGCCUACCAAGGCGACGAUCAGUAGCCGGCCUGAGAGGGUGAACGGCCACACUGGGACUGAGACACGGCCCAGACUCCUACGGGAGGCAGCAGUGGGGAAUCUUCCGCAAUGGACGAAAGUCUGACGGAGCAACGCCGCGUGUAUGAUGAAGGUCUUCGGAUUGUAAAGUACUGUCUUUGGGGAAGAAUGACUGAUUUGAAAAUAUUGAGUCAGUAUGACGGUACCCAAGGAGGAAGCCCCGGCUAACUACGUGCCAGCAGCCGCGGUAAUACGUAGGGGGCAAGCGUUGUCCGGAAUUAUUGGGCGUAAAGGGCGCGUAGGCGGAUAGUUAAGUCCGGUGUGAAAGAUCAGGGCUCAACCCUGAGAGUGCAUCGGAAACUGGUUAUCUUGAGGACAGGAGAGGAAAGUGGAAUUCCUAGUGUAGCGGUGAAAUGCGUAGAUAUUAGGAGGAACACCAGUGGCGAAGGCGACUUUCUGGACUGUAACUGACGCUGAGGCGCGAAAGCGUGGGGAGCAAACAGGAUUAGAUACCCUGGUAGUCCACGCUGUAAACGAUGAGUGCUAGGUGUAGAGGGUAUCGACCCCUUCUGUGCCGCAGUUAACACAAUAAGCACUCCGCCUGG